UAAAUAUAGAAUCUCCAUUCAAUUCUCUAUCAUUUACCUAUUUAUAUAAACUCAAUGGAUAUUAUGGAAUUUCUGAUGUAUAUCGAGUAACAAGAGCAUUUCCAUUGUAUGAUGGCAUAAGGUAGCCAAUAACU